UGCCUUCCCAUUUUCCAAAAAAAACUUAGUCUCCAUCUUCCUUUCCCAAAAUAGUCUGCCCUUUCCUCUCACUUCUCCACCUCUCUCCUCCACCUUCACCCAGUCUUCCCUUUCCUCUCACUUCUCCACAUCUCUCCUCCACCAUCACCAAAACCAGAAAGCUCUGACCACCAUAGCUGGCCGUCUCUGCCACCACUGCUAUCCCCUAGCCUACGUGAAUCUCCCGUUUUCAUCAUCCCAAACCCGUGAAUCCAAAAAAUUGAGAAGAGCAGUCCCAAAAUGGUAUAAUAAUCUAUUGUUGAUUUCAAAUCCACCAUUAAUGCCCUGGAAAAGUUAAGAUUUGUAGAUAUACGAGUGCAUGUGUUUAUGCCAUUUGAUUGUUGUGGUCGUUUGGGAAUAUUAUUGGUAAAUAUGGUUGGAUACAAGUUUAUUUGUGUGUACGUGGGUCUGUAAAUAUGAACACUUCAUUUUUGGGUUUAUUACAGGUUUUAAGGAAAAGUGGAUUCAUGAUCAAAAACACUUCAUUUUUGGGUUUAUUACAGGUUUUAAGGAAAAGUGGAUUCAUGAGCAAUUUUGAUCAUGGUUGUGUUUUUUUCGUUACUGAUCCUGAAACCACAUUCAGAUAUAAAAUAAAAUGUUGAACACCAUUAAGUGAUUAGUUUAACUUAAAUAUAAUGUUAAACGCCAGGUGUCCAAAUGCCUCUUUUGUCAUUUUCUCCUUUAACCACAUGUUUAAUUUUUGUAACCAGUAACUAGAAACAUUUUAUUUCAGAACACUUGCUUCUCUUUC